rnacentral:lncRNA from 1 species
AAACCCUAAAGAUAAAUUAAAUAAAAAACAAUACUUUAUUUUGAAUCCCAUUAAGCAGUAACACCCCGAAAAUGGACUCUAAUUCGUUACAGAAAGAGCAUCAAGAAGCGAUGCAAUCGAGUUCUAAAUAAAUUCUCAUCAUAAGAAUUAACUGAAAAGAGAUUAAUCAAUCAUCAAGUGUUUUUUUCUGUUUUUUAAUUUGGUCUUAUUAUAUUAAAAUAAUUCUGCUAUUUAUUUAAUGGGACCUAUUUUUUUUGUCUAAAACAAUACAUAUAACCACAAAAAUAACUAAAAUACAGUCAUAGUUUGCAACACAGUCAACUUAGAAUGGUAAAAACCCUCUAAAUAAUAAUGUCAACAUGUGACUGAAGUACAAACUCUAAUUGGUGUAGAAAGGCACGUGAGUCGGGUCAGAUUCUGAAGUUUUGUUCAAACUCAAAUGCAAAAAUGUUUUAGCUAUUUGGCGUGGAACUUCGAAUAUGUCGAGUUCUGAGACGAUUGAAUUCCAGGGUUCUAUUGUUAUUUGAUGCAAUCCCUAAUGUGUAAUUUGGUUUUAAAUGUGACUGUGUGGUGACGUCAUAUGUCCUCCCAUUGAGAGGUUGUGGGGUAUCUUAUUAUGUUGGGUUAGACCUAUUAAAAAAAAUAAUUUUUUGAAAUUUGAUAUGUUUCCCAAAUUUUUCCCAUGCUUUAAGAUGUGAGAAGCUCAAAAAUCAGUUUUUAGGGAUCUAAAUAUUUCCUAUACCCUGCCUUAUCGGCCAUAAAAUUUGUUCAAAAUGCAUUUUUUUGAUGAUUUUGCAUAGUUUUUGUACAAAAAGUAUAGGUAAAACCAAAUGAAUACCAAAAAGGACAUUUAACUAAAAUAUAACUCUUUUUGAAUAAUACAUUUUAUUAUCAAAGUAUCAUGAUUGCCCUGUACAAUUAAGGUAAAGAGAAACAUCUUGGGGCACAGACCACAUUACUAAAAUUGUAUACUCACAUCUAUCAAUGUUAUUGUUUCUUAUAUUUAGCCAUUUUUUGCAGAAAAUAUAUUAAUACUUUCGAAAGAUUAUGCACUUACCUCCAUUUCUUAUUUGAGAAUAUUUUUUUAAAAACCAAUUUCAAAAUCAGAAUGAUGUACUUCUUAAAUUAUUUUACAUAUUUUCUUAGAGUUAUAUUAUUAAAAACGUAAAAAUCAGCAAAAAGUGAUUAUUUUUAUUAUCCAUCUAUUUAUUGAAGACAUUCAUUUUCCAACAAAUCAAAUCAUUGCCUAUUAUAUGCUACGGCUUGAAGGAGAGACUCUCCUUAAAAGUAUAAACUUAAGUUGUCCAUCUAUCAAUUUAUGGAAGAAUGGAGGAAAGGAUCAUGAGAUCCCAAACGCAUUAUCAAGGGCACCUGUGUCAUUUCCAGAAAUUAAUGGACAUCUUCAAGAAGAAGUUGGCUACUACAGAGAUGAAGUAAUACGGAUUGUUAUGAUUAGAAUGAGUAAAUCGGAAGAAGAAGAGAAAAUAAUUCAUCCUUUAGUAGAGGAUAUUCGGGAUGACACUUUAAGAAAUCAAAAUUAUUUCGACCUAGUAAAUGCAAUUUAAAAUAAUUUUUAUUGGAGAUGGAGUGAAACCUUAAAUGAAAAUUUUACCUGAAUUGAGCAAUGAGGGAGGCCUUGUUGAACAAAUUGAACUCUUUGUUCAAGAUUGAUCUCUCCAUGGGGAAAUGAAUGCAAGAUCAUGAGGGAAUUAAGAAGGUUGGUCUUCUUCUUUGGGACUUCCUUCAGUGCCAGCGAAGGGUUGAAACCAGCUUUAGGAUCAAUAAAAUCCGGGCUCUUCUCUAUCCCAUGAAAGACUCCUUGAAAAAGAGUAUAAUGUUUGAUAUCAUGACGUGGAUCUAAAACUCCUGCUGUCCAAGGAUUAUGUGAAGGCCAUUUUAGAGGUGGCUAAGGUGGAAAGGCCCUUAAUAACGUCAUUAAAGGGAUUAAGUUCCGAAAAAGAAAAUUUUCGGAACAUGAACCACCAGCCAAAAAAAAGAAUAAUUGAUAAGAAGAAAGACCCAAAGGACCGGGAAACUAACUUCCAAGGAACUGGUCGGCCUCCUUAUCAGGAAAAAAAGAGAGGAGGUUUUUAAUGGUUAAAUGGUCAAAAUACAAAAAGUAAUCAAAGAAUCUAAAGAAAAGCAAUUUAAUAUAUAAAUAUAUUUAGAGAAACAUUAUUAUACAAUAGAGAAUUUUAUAUA